rnacentral:rRNA from 1 species
UACGUAGGGGGCAAGCGUUAUCCGGAUUUACUGGGUGUAAAGGGAGCGUAGACGGCGAUGCAAGCCAGAUGUGAAAGCCCGGGGCUCAACCCCGGGACUGCAUUCGGAACUGUGUGGCUGGAGUGUCGGAGAGGCAGGCGGAAUUCCUAGGGUAGCGGUGAAAUGCGUAGAUAUUAGGAGGAACACCAGUGGCGAAGGCGGCCUGCUGGACGAUGACUGACGUUGAGGCUCGAAAGCGUGGGGAGCAAACAGG